rnacentral:tRNA from 1 species
AGCAGCGUAGUGGUUAAACACUUGGCUGCUUACCAAGUAGUUGGUGGUUCGAAACCACCAGCAGCUC